rnacentral:rRNA from 1 species
UACAGAGGGUGCAAGCGUUAAUCGGAAUUACUGGGCGUAAAGCGUGCGUAGUCGGUUAUCUAAGUCGGGUGUGAAAUCCCCGGGCUCAACCUGGGAAUUGCAUUCGAUACUGGCUGACUAGAGUGCGGUAGAGGGGUGUGGAAUUCCCGGUGUAGCAGUGAAAUGCGUAGAUAUCGGGAGGAACAUCUGUGGCGAAGGCGACACCCUGGACCAGCACUGACACUGAGGCACGAAAGCGUGGGGAGCAAACAGG